rnacentral:snoRNA from 1 species
AACACUCAGGGCUUGACAGGCCGCAUUCUUAUACUGACUAUACAAACAGGAGGUAGAUAAACCUACCCCAUCUACAACCAAGAUGAGGUCACUGUGCCUGGUACAUAUUGCAAAUGGGGAUACAUGG